UGCUUUUUGUCUUAGUCGUCUUGCGCUGCCCCUUCAAGAUGUUCAACCAGUACCAACUCGCUCAAAUGUCGAUCCUUCUGCAUGGCAGACGU
rnacentral:lncRNA from 1 species